rnacentral:rRNA from 1 species
AGCAGCCGCGGUAAUUCCAGACUCCAAUAGCGUAUAUUAAAGUUGUUGCAGUUAAAAAGCUCGUAGUUGAAUUUCGAGAUCAAAUUGUUGGUCGUGCCUUGGUACGCACUGGCAUUAUUGGUUUCUCCCUUCUAACGAACCAUGAUGUCAUUAAUUUGGUGUCAUGGGAAAUCAGGACUGUUACUUUGAAAAAAUUAGAGUGUUUAAAGCAGGCUCGCGCUUGAAUACAUUAGCAUGGAAUAAUGAAAUAGGACGUUUGAUUCUAUUUUGUUGGUUUCUAGGGAUCGACGUAAUGAUUAAUAGGGAUAGUUGGGGGGCAUUAGUAUUCAAUUGUCAGAGGUGAAAUUCUUGGAUUUAUUGAAGACUAACUACUGCGAAAGCAUUUGCCAAGGAUGUUUUCAUUAAUCAAGAACGAAAGUUAGGGGAUCGAAGACGAUCAGAUACCGUCGUAGUCUUAACCAUAAACUAUGCCGACUAGGGAUCGGAUGAUGUUAAUUUUUUUAAUGACUCAUUCGGCGCCUUACG